rnacentral:rRNA from 1 species
GCUACAGGCUUAACACAUGCAAGUCGAGGGGCAGCAUGGUCUUAGCUUGCUAAGGCCGAUGGCGACCGGCGCACGGGUGAGUAACACGUAUCCAACCUGCCGUCUACUCUUGGACAGCCUUCUGAAAGGAAGAUUAAUACAAGAUGGCAUCAUGAGUCCGCAUGUUCACAUGAUUAAAGGUAUUCCGGUAGACGAUGGGGAUGCGUUCCAUUAGAUAGUAGGCGGGGUAACGGCCCACCUAGUCUUCGAUGGAUAGGGGUUCUGAGAGGAAGGUCCCCCACAUUGGAACUGAGACACGGUCCAAACUCCUACGGGAGGCAGCAGUGAGGAAUAUUGGUCAAUGGGCGAGAGCCUGAACCAGCCAAGUAGCGUGAAGGAUGACUGCCCUAUGGGUUGUAAACUUCUUUUAUAAAGGAAUAAAGUCGGGUAUGGAUACCCGUUUGCAUGUACUUUAUGAAUAAGGAUCGGCUAACUCCGUGCCAGCAGCCGCGGUAAUACGGAGGAUCCGAGCGUUAUCCGGAUUUAUUGGGUUUAAAGGGAGCGUAGAUGGAUGUUUAAGUCAGUUGUGAAAGUUUGCGGCUCAACCGUAAAAUUGCAGUUGAUACUGGAUAUCUUGAGUGCAGUUGAGGCAGGCGGAAUUCGUGGUGUAGCGGUGAAAUGCUUAGAUAUCACGAAGAACUCCGAUUGCGAAGGCAGCCUGCUAAGCUGCAACUGACAUUGAGGCUCGAAAGUGUGGGUAUCAAACAGGAUUAGAUACCCUGGUAGUCCACACGGUAAACGAUGAAUACUCGCUGUUUGCGAUAUACGGCAAGCGGCCAAGCGAAAGCGUUAAGUAUUCCACCUGGGGAGUACGCCGGCAACGGUGAAACUCAAAGGAAUUGACGGGGGCCCGCACAAGCGGAGGAACAUGUGGUUUAAUUCGAUGAUACGCGAGGAACCUUACCCGGGCUUAAAUUGCAGAUGAAUUACGGUGAAAGCCGUAAGCCGCAAGGCAUCUGUGAAGGUGCUGCAUGGUUGUCGUCAGCUCGUGCCGUGAGGUGUCGGCUUAAGUGUCAUAACGAGCGCAACCCUUGUUGUCAGUUACUAACAGGUUCCGCUGAGGACUCUGACAAGACUGCCAUCGUAAGAUGUGAGGAAGGUGGGGAUGACGUCAAAUCAGCACGGCCCUUACGUCCGGGGCUACACACGUGUUACAAUGGGGGGUACAGAGGGCCGCUACCACGCGAGUGGAUGCCAAUCCCCAAAACCUCUCUCAGUUCGGACUGGAGUCUGCAACCCGACUCCACGAAGCUGGAUUCGCUAGUAAUCGCGCAUCAGCCACGGCGCGGUGAAUACGUUCCCGGGCCUUGUACACA